GCGCCCGUAGCUCAAAGGACAGAGCGGCGGUCUCCUAAACCGCAGGCUGAGGGUUCGAAUCCCGCCGGGCGCACCA
rnacentral:tRNA from 1 species